rnacentral:rRNA from 1 species
UACGGAGGGUGCGAGCGUUGUCCGGAAUCACUGGGCGUAAAGGGCGCGUAGGCGGCUGGAGGAGUCCGUGGUGAAAGCUCGUGGCUCAACUGCGAGUCGGCCAAGGAUACUCUUCAGCUUGAGCACUGUAGAGGCAGAUGGAAUUCCGGGUGUAGCGGUGGAAUGCGUAGAGAUUAGGAAGAACACCAGUGGCGAAGGCGACUUACUGGACUGUAACUGACGCUGAGGCAUGAAAGCGUGGGGAGCAAACAGG